rnacentral:rRNA from 1 species
CCUACGGGUGGCAGCAGUGGGGAAUAUUGGGCAAUGGAGGCAACUCUGACCCAGCAACGCCGCGUGAAUGAUGAAGGUCUUCGGAUUGUAAAGUUCUGUGAUGGGGGAUGAACACAAUGACGGUACCCCAAUAGCAAGCCACGGCUAACUACGUGCCAGCAGUCGCGGUAAUACGUAGGUGGCAAGCGUUAUCCGGAAUGACUGGGCGUAAAGGGUGCGUAGGUGGUUUAGUAAGUUGGCGGUGUAAUUCCGGGGCUCAACCUCGGCACUACCGCCAAAACUAAUAGACUAGAGUGCAGGAGAGGUAGGUGGAAUUCCUAGUGGAGCGGUGAAAUGCGUAGAUAUUAGGAAGAA